GCUUACGGCCAUACCACCCUGAACACGCCCGAUCUCGUCCGAUCUCGGAAGCUAAGCAGGGUCGGGCCUGGUUAGUACUUGGAUGGGAGACCGCCUGGGAAAUACCAGGUGCUGUAAGCU
ensembl:rRNA 5S_rRNA 5S ribosomal RNA